CACGAGGCCACACCCGUACCUGCCCGGCUGCCCCACCCACGAUUCCCUCCUUCUCCCCCAUGCUCCCUCAUCUCUCAUUCUCUCCAUCUCCAUGAGCAUUAGCACGCCGCCGUGCCAUCCCUCCUUCCCCGUGCCAGCACCCUCCUCCCUCCUUCUCCCCUGAGCAGCCACACGCUGCCGGCCAACGCCACCCGCCCGUCCGGCGCCCCCGUCCAGCGCCGCCCGCCCGUCCGGCGCCCCCGUCUAGCGCCCUCUUGUCCCCGAGCAGCCGCAUGCCGUGGCCAGCGCCGGCGAGCCCCGUCCGUCCGCCGCCACGCCCAGCGCCCUCCCGCCCAUCCGUCCGUCACACCGCCAGCGCCGCAUGAAGCUCUACCUCGCCAGCUCGACCUCACCGGUCGGCCUUGCGCACCCCAGCUCCUCCGGCCGCGCACCCAAACCCGUCCACACCCCGAGCUCCUCCUCACCUGCCGGUCCUGCGCUCCGCCUCGCGAGCUCUACCGCUAGAGCAGCCAGGCGCUCCACCGGUUGAGCACCGUCCAUCCCCGACCUCCCUCGCGUGCCUCUCCGCGGCGCCGGAGCAAGUCAGCUCCCGAGCGCGGCUGGGCCGGAGCUGCACGCCUGAGCAAGGCCGGGCGGCGGAGCGGCGAGCAGAGCACGGCAGAGAGCCAAGGCGAGUGUCGGGCUGGAUAGCGGGGCGGGCAGAGCACCAGAGUGGAGAAGAAGGACCCGAUUGCUUUUUAGUUUUACUUGUUAGGGUCCUUUGUGUUAAUUUUCCAGACUACUCUGUAACUUUAGUUUUGGUUGGGGCUCAUAUUUGCAUUUUGUACUCCAAUAACGUUGAAUGAAUGGCACUAUACACGGAUGGGCCUUUCCCUGUUAAAAAAGAAGAAAGAUAGGUAUUGCACUCGCAUGAGUUGACC
rnacentral:rRNA from 1 species